GGAAUAUUGGUCAAUGGAGGCAACUCUGAACCAGCCAUGCCGCGUGCAGGAAGACGGCCCUAUGGGUUGUAAACUGCUUUUAUCUGGGAAUAAACCUUUUUACGUGUAAGAAGCUGAAUGUACCAGAAGAAUAAGGAUCGGCUAACUCCGUGCCAGCAGCCGCGGUAAUACGGAGGAUCCAAGCGUUAUCCGGAUUUAUUGGGUUUAAAGGGUGCGUAGGCGGCCUGUUAAGUCAGAGGUGAAAGACGGUAGCUCAACUAUCGCAGUGCCUUUGAUACUGACGGGCUUGAAUAAACUAGAGGUAGGCGGAAUGAGACAAGUAGCGGUGAAAUGCAUAGAUAUGUCUCAGAACACCGAUUGCGAAGGCAGCUUACUAUGGUUUUAUUGACGCUGAGGCACGAAAGCGUGGGGAUCAAACAGGAUUAGAUACCCUAG
rnacentral:rRNA from 1 species